GGCUGGCGCAGGGGCACCAUAUGGCACAAAAUGUCUGACCAGGACCAUCACAAGAUAUGGACAUCCCUCCUUCACCACCACCAUCAGUGCCGGAAAGGCACCUACAUCAGCUUCUGCUGCACUCACUCACAGUGAGAUGCUCUUUGCACAAGAGAAGGUGUGAAGGGAAGUUUUCUUUCUGCAGUUCUCUUACUGCACAUAACUGUGGCAUUGUGGGAAAGUCUUGCUUCUUUUCUCUUGCAUUCUGGGAAGUCUCGCUCAUAAUCUUUUCUCUGCUUCUGCACAAGAGUCUGAGAAUGUUCUGAACAGUUCCCAUUGAGUUCAUGAAACAGUGUAUCCUGACCUGUUCUUAAUGCAUUGUUGACCACAUCUACGGAACGUGAUUGCUGUAUUCCUUCAUGUUAUGUUCUCUCAAUAUCAAUCUUUAGGUAUAAUUUAAUUAGGAGGUUUCAUGCCUGUCUAGUUCCAGCUCCGUUUCCCAGUCUUUGAUCUAUCAGUGAUAAAUGUAAUAUGUAAUGCCCGCCUUGUACCUAUGUUAACCAAUCAGCAACAAGAUGCUUUGUGUUUGUAUCAACCAAUCAGCCACAAGCACACCUGUGGCAAUGUUUGUAAUAUUCAAUAAAAGAGAGUUCCCGGGGCUUGCCCCGGGGAGACGCCUCUCAUAUGACACCUACCACUCGUCUGUCGUGAUUUCAACCCAACAAAGGUGGGUGUCCAAUCCUGGCAUCCCAUAAAAUGUUGGCAUGCUUAAGAUGGUGUGUCCCAUAUAGGAGAAUAGGAGCCAGGGCAAACAGGAACUGAGCAGGAAGAGCAGUUCCUGUUUGCCCUGCAUAUACACACUAUCCCCUUAAAACACAUUCGAAGCGCAUUUCCCCCUUCAAAUAAUUCUGGGCACUAUAGUUUGUAAAGGGUUGCUGGUAACUGAAACUCUGCAAGGGUUAAACCUGAGUGCCCAGAAUUCUUUGUGGGAAGGCAGCCCCUGAGCUACACCCUUGAAUGUUUAGCGAGGCAGAGGGGGAACUUGAGAGGGGGAACCUGAAAAUAAAGCAACACUGUACCUAGCAGUGGUAGCUGGUGGCUCUUGGGUCUUCUGGAGUAGAAGCCGGGGGGCCACCACACCUGAGGUACUGUGUCCAGUUCUAGGCACCACAAUUUAAGAAGGAUAUUCACAAGCUGGAAUGUGUACAGAGGAGGGCAAUGAGGAGACUGAGAAGAGAUAUGAUAGCCAUUCAAUUAUUAUAUAUAAUUCAAAUAUCUAAAGGUUUUUCACAUGGAAGAUGGAGCGGGUUUGUUUUCUCCUGCUCUGGAGGGUAGGACCUAAACCAUUGGCUUCAAGUUACAACAGAAGAGAUGCCAACUAAAAAUCAGUAAGACCUGUCAGAUGGUUAAGAGCUGUUCGACAGUGGAACAGACUCCCUCAUGAGCUGAUGGACUCUCCUUCCUUGGAGGUUUUUAAGCAAUGUUUGGAUGGAUGCUUUAGCUGAGAUUCCUUCAUUGUAGGGGCUUGGACUAGAUUAUCCUUGGUAUCCCCCAUUUGAUAGGGGGGAAAGAACCUCAGUGUGCUAUGUAUUUUCAUUGAUUUUUAUUGAUUUAGUGGGGGCAGCUGCCCCUCCCGGGGGCCCCUGGCUACGCCCAUGUUUCUCACUCUACGAUUCUAUGAUUCUAAUAUCCUAUUAUGUAAUGUUUUUGCUUUCUAUGACAUUGCUGCUUUAUCUUCUUCAGCCCAGCCCAUCUGAAAAUUGCAUGCUUCGUUAUGGAUCACUUUGCCCUGCGGCUGAUAUAUGGUAACAUUUAAUGUCUUAAGCAUCAAGGGAAACUUUAUUUCAACAUUGUUCUCUUGCUUGGAGCAGUUUCUGCAAAUUCAUAUGUAACAAGGAAGUUCUAGAAGCUUUUAAUCUUCACGUCAUAUUUUCCUGUCAGGACUUCACCUACCUUUUGAAGAAACAACCGUCUCUACUAGAUAUACCUGUAUGGGUGGGUUUGCCAUUUUCUUGCUACAAGAUGUCUUUCCACCUACAGAACAAGAUUCCCCCCCCCCCAACCAUGGAAAAGUAAGUUGGGGUGGGGGCAGAAUUCUGAGCAGCAAAAUGGCUGGAGGGGAAAGGGUUAAGCAACUGUUCCCCAUUAACAUUCUCUCAUUCAAGCUUGCAGGCUCCUUUCAUUUUUUAAAAAAAAUCUGUCAGGAGAUUAUUGCAUGCAUGCUGUAUAACAGUGGUUCUCAAAGGUUGUGGCGCGCCACACUGGUGUGGCAGGAGCAGAUGGCAAGUGUGCUGGGAAGAUUCAAGGACAAUCAAAUAAACUUUUAAACAUUUCAGUUUAGUAUAGCAGACCUUCCAAGUGUCCCUAUUUUCCAGGAACGUCCCUGAUUUAGAGAAGCCCUCCCGGUUUCUGAUUUGAUCCCAGAAUGAGAGCAAGAGGGUCAAGUGAUGCUGAGGACAAUCCUAGCUGCCGCUUGAAUGGACUGCUGGAGAAGACUUGUUUAAUUUGAAACCAGUAGCCAAUGCAAACAACCUCCCCCUGCCCCCAUUGGCUAUGCAUUUCCAUAUAAUACCUACACUGGCCCACAAAUGCUAUGAUGUCAUAAUGUUUCAACAAAAUUUGUUCCAAGUAAAGGGACAUUUCCUUCCUUCAAUUUUGUUAGGUAACCUUUUAUGGUCUGUUUUUAAUAUUCAUCCCUUUUUGUAGCUCAUUAUAAUCAGUGCUUUUUUUCUUUUAGAAAAAAAUGCACCGGUGCUCAUCAUGAAGUUGUUACAGUAUGUGCCACACUUUUAACAUUUUGAGGAGGAAAGGUGCCGGUACCACUUGCCCUUGAGUACCCCCAGGGGGAAAAUGGUACUGAUUAUAAUUUUUAAAAUGUUCUGAUUACCUUUAUUUCAAAAUAUCUAAAGUUGCAUUGAACUCCAUGGAAUGGGCCAGAUUUUCACAACAUCCCUUAUAUUUGAAUAUUGACCUUUCACAAAGCUUUGGAUUUUUGAAUGUUGCUUUUGUACGUUACUUUUUCAUGCAUUUGUUUCACAUUGUGAGAGCUCUUCUAAUCGGUGCUAUUACAGACCCAUAUUAAAGACAGGGGAAAACUAUGGGGCAGAUGUAUUCAUUUAUUGGCUGGAAUGAUGCUUGGGGAUGGAGGGUAACCUUUGGGGGUAGAAUAUCCCAUUGCUUUCUUUGUACAUCAAAAUGCUGGAUGCCAAUGAGUCAUUAAUACUAUUAUUUCAGAUGCAUACUUUCUGAGAUCUUGCCCUUGGUGCAGCGAUUAUCACAACGUGGUUUCCUACUGGAAUAUGUUAUUUCUAGACACAAAAUGGAACCUGUUGCGACUCUAUAAACAAAUGGUCCUGAAGGAUGAUUAGUGUUGACACAGAGCUAAAAACGUGUGUUCUUUGGCUUUUGAAAACAACCGUCCUUUCUUACUAUCUGUUAUGUAGGGGUGUCUGUUAAGUAGAAUCAAAAUCCUGUCCAUGUCAAUUGUAGGUCACUGCUUUUCAAUCAGCCAGUUUUGUUUUGACUCUCAGCAGGGUAGGAGAGUAAAAAUAUAAGAAUAUGAGAAGUGCCCUGCUGGCUAGGGCCAAAGUUCCAUCUGGUCCAGCGUCCUGUUCUCACAAUGGCCAACCAGAUGUUUCUGGCAAGCAGAACCUAAAUGCAACAGAACUUUCCCCACUUGUGAUUUCCAUCUACUGGCAUUGAGGGUGUUAAGUUGUGCGUGAACAUAUCAGACGACACAGCGAUUCUUCAACAGCUCUUGUUUAUUCAGAGGCCAGAACAGAACUGAGCUGAAGGGCUCAGUCAGCCUGCUUAUAUAGAGCUCCACUACAACGUUACUGUAGCAACUUUCUAAAACUAUCCAAUAACUGAACGUCACUUUCGAUCCUUCAUUUGCAUAACUAUCUACAGUAUCCCCCUGCAGGCCCAGGGUGAGAACUUUAGUACAUAACAGAGGGGAAUACUGCCUCUGAACGUAGGGAAUUGCUUUUGUAAAUGGAAUGAUCUAAGUCACAUAUUCAUCCACUCCGGGCCUCAGUAUUGGAGGGUAUGUUUCCCAUAGGUUCAGACCCUGGUGUGGAACUUAAGAAACAACCAUCACUUUCUUAAACAGGAAACAGGGAUCAGAAUUCCAAGCAGAUGAGUCAGGGAUUGACAGGAUGAUUCCAACUCAUGGUAGGUUUAUUAUCUGUGCUCUGGACAGGAUGGGUGUCCUGACUAGGGGAGAGGAUAAUAUGCAGGGGAAGGAUAAUACUCAUGUGCUCCUUGAUAGCAGAUAGCAUACUCAUAUGGGGAAUAUAGAUCAGGCAUAGGCAAACCCGGCCCUGCAGAUGUUUUAGGACUACAACUCCCAUGAUCCCUAGCUAACAGGACCAGUGGUCAGGGAUGAUGGGAAUUGUAGUCCCAAAACAUCUGGAUGGCCGAGUUUGCCUAUGCCUGGUAUAGAUGUUGAAAAGCAGUUUAAAGCCCUCUUAAACACUAGCUCAGCUGCGUGGAGUCUGCAAGGGGUAGCUUUUUGUAUUCCUGGAGUCUUCUUGCACAUUACAGAACCCUAAUUAUGCAAGGGGCCACAGGAAAUUGCACCCAAACAUAACUAUGCAUGAACAUUAGUGAGUGCAUGAAGGAAUUAAGAUCAUAGAACUGUGUUCCUGGACUCAGGUAGGCCAUGCCAUCUCUUCUCUGAUGAGGGAGAUGAUGAGGGAGGAAGUGAAAUUUUCUUAUUCCUCCUGUCUCUCAUCUCACCAUUUAUCUCACCAAGGAAGAUGUGUCUAAGCUUUGCUCCAAGCUUAGAGCAUGUGUUUGAAGCUAUUUCUCUGUGUUUUCUACACAAGAGUAUUCUGCCUGUGUUCUCCUUACUGCUGCUUGGGUAAAUGCAU
rnacentral:lncRNA from 1 species